CCUACGGGCGGCAGCAGUGGGGAAUAUUGCACAAUGGGGGAAACUCUGAUGCAGCGACGCCGCGUGAGUGAAGACGUAUUUCGGAAUGUAAAGCUCUAUCAGCAGGGAAGUAAAUGACGGUACCUGACUAUGACGCCCCGGCUAACUACGUGCCAGCAGCCUUGGUAAUACGCAGGCGGCCAGCGUUAUCCGGAUUUACCGGGUGUAAAGGGAGAGUAGGCGGCAGGAUAAGGGAGAUGUGAAAGCCUUAGGCUUAACCUGAGGAUUGCAUAACGAACUAUCUAGCUAGAGAACAGGUGCGGAAAGCGGAAUGCAUGGUGUAGCGGUGAAAUGCGUAGAUAUUAGGAAGAACACCAGUGGCGAAGGCAGCUUUC
rnacentral:rRNA from 1 species